CAAUGGCUUAGGUCCCAUGAUCACACAUAACAUAGAUCAAUGGCUUAGGUCCCAUGAUCGCACAUAACAUAGAUCAAUGGCUUAGGUCCCAUGAUCGCACAUAACAUCAUAGAUCAAUGGCUUAGGUCCCAUGCUAUCAUCUUAUCUUUCGAGCAUCGAUGAGCUAGGAUUUCUUGAUCGCACAUAACAUAGAUCAAUGGCUUAGGUCCCAUGAUCGAAUAACAUAGUAUGGUAGGUUGUCACACCCAAUUCUUGAACGAAUAAAAUAUAAUCGAGGUGCGACUAAAAUCAUAGAAAUAAAUAAGGAAAGAACCUUGUGGGAUUCAAAUAAUGGGAUAAAAGUCGGGGAACAGCCUUUGAGUGAAGAAAGACAAAACUCAGGUGAUACUAAUCAAUCAACAACAUUGUAACUAGGAUCACAAGUUGAUUUCAUGCUUCUGAUAACCAACAUUAAAUAUCAUAGAGCUAGAAGUUGAGAGUCUACACUCGAUAAGAAACAUAAUUCAGAAUUUAACAUAAAGUACUAGUAGAGAAACAUAAGACAAAUAAGAAGCUAAUGCAACAGCGGAAGACAAAAUAGGAGUUGAACCCUAGCCUCAGCUCUGCCUGUCAGCACCGACCAAUCAACCUGAAAACAAUUUGAAAGUAAUUUUGGGCUAAGUACUAAUGUACUUAGUGGGCUAGCAUUUUUAUAAACAUUUCAUAAUCAUAAGAGCAGUUUAUCCAAUUAUACUUGACAUGACUUAGAAGGUUUUAAAUUGAAAUAACUUCUAAGCUGUUAAAACAUUUUAUUAUAUUGCGCGCAAUUGUCACACUCCCUUUCGUUACUCGCUGUGAUCCCGGACCUUUUAGCCACCGACGGAUCCAUUACUCCUGCUUACUUGAACUGAGGGGUAACCCAGUCAAGUUCCCAUUUGGGACCCAAUGCUCCGGAACACAUCCCGUCGAGCACCCUUAUAACGCCUCAUACAUGAUUAGUGCCCGAUGGAGAUCAACCCACCGGUCAGUAAUAGGUGUACACAAUUCUCAAAUAACGUGUUAGGUCAGAGAGAACCUCGAUCGAUUCAUUGUUGCGAGCCUUAAACAGAGCAGAGUGCACAAAAUAUUUUAUGGAUAAACAGUUUUCAUUUAUUGAAACAUUUAAGCUCAAUAGCUAAACAUACAUUUGGAAAAUAAGCCACCUGAUUAGGCAAUGCCUGUGUUUAUUCUUAACUUGAUCGGAAGCAGCUAUCCUCAUCACAAAGCCUACAAGAAAUCUAUAAUCUUAAAUAGGUUCCUGAAUCUAAUCUUAAGUCUGGUGUAGUGUUAUCUUCUAUGAUUCAUUAGCCGGGUUUUCUAUUUAAUAAUAAAUAUUUGAAACUAUUUCUUGAGUUAAGGACCCAACAAUAUCCUUGCUCGAUUUUACUUAAAUAAUAUAUUCCUAUUUAAAGUCAAUAAUUAUGAUUCUAUGUAAAAUGUUUGAUGCAAAAUUAAUUCAUGCUUUAACUCACAUAAUUAAAUAAAUAUAUUUAACAUAUGCACAUAAUAAGAAAAUACUAUUAUCCAAACUUUUUCAAAAAUAAUUAAUUAAACUCAAAUAAAGAGUCAAAUUAAUAAAUCAAUUAAACAAGUCCAACAAUUAAAUGGAAGUCCAUAUUUUAUUUCAAAAAUUCGCAGCCCAAACAAAAGUAAAUAGCAGUCCACCAUUUAAACUAAAAUUUCGGCCCAGAGUUUAAUUAAAACGGCCCAUUUGUAAAAUAAUUUAAGGAGGCCCAAUGGCCCAAAAUUCUUCCUCCCUCUUCUUUUACACGCACACACAUCCACACACACAGAAACACACGCACACACACACGCACUGUAGUGACCCGCUCUUUUAUAAAUAUUAAAUCCAGUAAUGAGUGUUUAUUUAUGUUCAUCAGUGAAUAAAAACGGAUAUUAUUCUGAUAUGAAUUCAGCUUAUGAUCCUGAAUUUAUAUUGUUAAAGCAGUUAAUGAUAUUAUUUCAGAGUUAUAACUGACUUAGCAAAGUCACGUUAUUUAUUUAAGCGAGAUGGAAUUAGAUUUUAUUUUUACUCAAGUUGUGGAUUAUUUCCGACUCGUGAAUUAAUUAAAUCUGCGGAUUUAAUUUAUAUAUUAGAACAACGAACGAAUUAAAUCUACGGAUUUAAUUUUGAUUCAUUAUAUAACUUAUCGAUUUUAGCGAGAUAUCACAUGUCGAAAUCGAGAUUUAUGUAAAUAUAGUAUCAAGCAGAAUCGAAGCCAGUAUUUUAUUUCAGUUACGGAAUCACCGAGACAUAGAAAAUACAUCAUUAAUUCUUCUAUAUUAUUUUUUUUUCUUUUUCUUUCCAUCAAUCUUUGACCACCACUUUUCCCCACCACUCAUUUUUCACCCCAACCAUUCACUCUUUCCCUACCAUUUUCCCCCAUCACUCAUCAUUUUUCCCACCACUCAUCACUCAAGUAUGCAGCCAACAAUCCUCCUCUAUUAACUUCAACUCCAGCCAACAGACUCCCCUUUCACUCACAGCAGCGUCGACUUCCCUGCUGCCAUACUUGAACAAGCUUCAGUUCAUUUGAGACUUCAUUAACAGGAGAGAAAGAGCUGCCCAACUUCCGCCAAAUCCUCAAGGUAAGCUUCGGCUUGAACGUUUCCACCUCCUGCCAUAACCUCCACCUGCAUUUUUAAAGCAAUAACACCUUGAUCAUAUUUCAGUUAUUCCUCAUCUCAAUCAUCAAUACCACAACAGCCAACCAACAAGCUAGAUACUCAAGGUAUUUAUGCGACCUCAGUUAUUCAAUCCAGUUUGCAUUCAUACCAUCAAACAUGAUCAGAUUCAAAUGAUAGAUGGCAAUAAGCUUGAUAAACUUAGCAAAGUUACAUACUCUAUAUGAAAUAGCAUUAGUUACUUUCCUGUUGUAUUCAUAUCUAUAGAGCUCAUAACAAACCACAUAUGCGAACUCAUGAUUUAUGGCAUUUCACGAAAGUAGUAUGAUUCAUACAUUGAGAUAUUACCACUGUACAACCAAAGCCAUAAGAGCUCCCAUCAUGUAGCAACAUGAAUCGAAAUACAAUAGCAGGGGAUAGAACAAAAACUUAGCUUAAGGAAUAGGGUCGACUGCCCUGUUUAGUCGAGCUCAAGGAAGACGACGGCGAAGCCGAAGGUUCCAGCAGCAGCGGCGUCGGGGCUCGGGGAAUCAACGACGACGGUGGCCUGGUGCUCCUACUGCUGUCGAUCCAGAGAUAGCAGUGGGUGGAUGGCGGCUGGACGAGAAGCUGGUCGGCGGAGGGAGAGAUGGUGGACCGAUCAACUGCUGCUCGGCCACGGCCAGAGGAGAUCCGAGGGAGGAGGCGGAUCUGCUGCGAGGACGCCGGAGGCGGCGGCGCAGCCGCUGGAUGAGAGGGAGCUAGGGCUCGGGCGCCGCUCUUCGCGGUGGGAUGCUGGGGUUUAACGCGUCACCGGUCAAAUCUGACCGGAGCAGAUGACGACUGAACGGCCGGCCCAACCGACCAGAGCUUGAACGAGAGAGAGAGAUCGGCUUGGGGAGGCGGCGGCGUUACCUCAGCAGCGGCGACGUCCAGCGACAUAGCUUCCAGGCGUGUCGGCAGAUGACGCCGGCCGGAGCAGGCGUUGGCCGAACGGAAUCUCGGUGAGAGGAGAAGAGACCGAGCGGCCGGCUUGCGUGAGAAAGAGGAGAGUGAGUUCUGUUUCAGCGUAGUUUGAGAGAGAAGGGGAGUGUCAGCCGAUUUUGAGAGAGAUCAGAGAGAGAAAGGCGAGAAUUGAUUUUGAGGAAAUAGGGAGAGAGAACCGAGAUGUUGGGGGAAGAAAAUUUUGGGCUUUUCCUAUUGUAAUUAAAGUUGGGCUUAUUUAUUUUAAUUGGGCUUAUUUAUUUAAUUCUUUGGGCCUUGUUGAUUUAUUUUUAGUGGGCUUGAGUUGGGCUGGCUUAUUUAUUAAUAUUGGGCUUCUGAUUUUAUUUAAAUGGCCGAUUUUAAUUACUGAUUGGGCCUCCGAUUUUAUUUAUAUGGGCUUUGAUUUAAUUGUUGUUUUGAUUUGUAUGGGCUUCAUUUAAUUGAGUUGGACUUUAUUUAUUUUAAUAAUUGGUCCAUUACAUUGGGCCAUUUCAUUGGGCCGGAGUUUAUUUAAUUAUGUUGGACUCCUUAUUUGGGCUUCGUUUCAGUGGGCCGAUUUUAUUUUAAAUUACAGUGGGCUUGAGUUGGGCCGAAAAUUUGGGCCUUUAUUUUAUUUUCUUUGGGCUUCAUAAUUAUUUAUUUUUGGGCCUUGUUGUAUUUAUUAUAAUUGGGCCUAAUUCAAUUAUUUUGCUUGGGCUUUAGUUUAAUUCAUUGGGCCUAAUUUAAUUAAUUCAUUGGGCCUAAUUUAAUUAAUUCAUUGGGCUUUGUUAUUUUAUUCCGAUUGGGCCUCCUAAUUAUUUCUUUAGGCCUUGGUUAUUUAUUCAACUGGGCCCUAAAAUUUUUUUUAAUUACUUGAGUCCAUGAAUUACUCCAACUAAACUUUUCAAUUUAAUUAUUGGAAUGCCACGAUUUAUUUAAAUCAAGCCAUAUUUGUUUAAUUAAUUAUUAGGCUGCCUUAUGUUGAGCCUUUUAAUUAUUUAAUCUUAUAACAUUACUUGUUCCUAUUUAUUAAGCCCGAUUAAUUAUGAGGUUAUAAAGCGAAUAAGUUGAAGUAUUAUUUAUUUUCUAUUGACUACGAGGAAUGGGGUUUAUUUAAUUGGCGGAUUAGAACACCUGAAGCGAACGGAUUAUUUUAGUUAAUUACUCAACCACGCAAGAUGAAACCUAGUUGGUAUUUAUUUGAUCCGAUAGUGAGGAUUAAUAGUAGUAAUUCUCUAAUAUCAUCUCGGAGUAAUAAAUCAUGCAUAAAGAUCAUGCAUAAUUAAUUUUGUAUUCUAAUUAUUUGAGGAUUUUACUCGAGCAAUAUCUUAUUUAUAUUCUCGUAAUAAAGGUCAAGCACGAGAUUAAUAAUCAGUCAAGGAGCUACUGUACCACAAAAAGUUUCUAACAGGUGGGCAUUNUCUUCCUCGCUAAUUAUCUCAUCUUUUCUUUUAAGUCCAUCGGCCCAAAAACACCAACGAUCAAGUAAAUUUCGAACAAAUGAAUCAUAAGAUUCUAACGACGUAACUAUAUCGUACGCUUCUUGGGCAAUGAGUCGUAGCGGUGCAGGCACUUUGCUCAUGAGAUGCUUGGUCACAUAAAAAUCCCCUAUAAAGACUCCUAGUUCGUUCUAUUCGUGAAAGAGGUUGCUCAUCCUUUGCACGUGUUCCACGAACCCGUAGUCGCUACUCCAUGUAUAGCAGUCGUACGCCGAUUGCAGCCUCCUACUCCUUUCGUAUCUCUCGCAUUGUCCACGCAAGAAUUCACAACGUUCACUUAAUCUUUCAUAUUCUUCGCGCAAUUUCUCAAUUUGUGCUUGUAGGGUAACUUGAGCUCUAGUGGGAGUUUGACGUGUCCGUGCCAUCUAACAAUUUCACAAUUUCAACUAUUUCUAAUGUAUCUAAACGUAGUACUACUUGAACAUAAAAGCAUCAUAAAAAAAAUAUGUCAUGUAAAACAUCAUAACGGUCAUAUACAUACUUGAACAAUUAGAACACAUACCUUGGAGUCGAUGCAGCGCAUGAGUUUCGAAUGACUAGGCUUACUUAACCUUUUGAAAUUCAUUUUUUUUUUAAACACGAGUCUGCAGAAACGUAGACCCGCUCUGAUACCACUAUGUAACACCCCAAUUUUCAUAAACUUUACUAUUUAAAAAUUUAGAGAACAAAAGAUAGUAUAAUAAUAAUUUCUUGAUUUAUAAAGAAAAUUUAAACUAAUUUCAAAGUCAACUUGCCAAAACUAAAGUAGUAUCAUAAAAUAAAAUAAAAUAAAAUAAAAUAAAAUAAAAUAAAAUUUAACAAGUUCAACUAAAAUAUUCAAUGUAAAAUCCUUAUCCCUAGUCAUUCUCCACUUCCAUGGCCACUUCGACUCUGAAACUGCAAAACUGAAAAGAUAAGGGGUGAGCAUAUUGAAAAUAUACUCAAUGAGGAAUAUAACGAAAAAUAUUCAUAUACGUCACAUAUAUAAUCAAAUCACGCUAUCAUACUUACAAACAUACGCCAAGAGACCGGAACCCCUUGACAAACAUAAUCAUAGUUCGAGUCGAUGGCUUAAGUCCCAUGACCAAACACAUACAUAGAUCAAUGGCUUAGGUCCCAUGAUCAACUUAUCAAUCAUAGAUCAAUGAUCAACAUACACAACAUAGAUCAAUGAGCUUAGGUCCCAUGAUCAACAUAUUAACAUAGAUCAAUGGCUUAGGUCCCAUGAUCGCACAUAACAUAGAUCAAUGGCUUAGGUCCCAUGAUCGCACAUAACAUCAUAGAUCAAUGGCUUAGGUCCCAU
rnacentral:lncRNA from 1 species